CCUACGGGAGGCAGCAGUAGGGAAUCUUCCACAAUGGGCGAAAGCUUGAUGGAGCGACGCCGCGUGCGUGAUGAAGGUCUUCGGAUCGUAAAACCCUGUUGUAAGAGAAGAAAGUUCGUGAGAGUAACUGAUCACGUUUCGACGGUAUCUAACCAGAAAGCCAUGGCUAACUACGUGCCAGCAGCCGCGGUAAUACAUAGGUGGCAAGCGUUAUCCGGAAUUAUUGGGCGUAAAGGGAUCGUAGGCGGUUUUUUAAGUCUGAAGUUAAAGCCUUGGGCUUAACCGCAGUAGUGCUUUGGAAACUAGGAGACUAGAGUGCAGUAGAGGAGAGCGGAACUCCAUGUGUAGCGGUGAAAUGCGUAGAUAUAUGGAAGAACACCAGAGGCGAAGGCAGCUCACUGG
rnacentral:rRNA from 1 species